GUUGGCAUUCUACAAGUUUGUAACACCUACUUAUCAACAAAUUCACGGCAGCUAUGACAGAACGAAAUAAGUUGCGUUAGCGCAAUACCUUUGAUAUUACAGAUCUACCGCCACACAGCCAGAGAACGCACGGCUACUAAGAUCUUGGAGCGUCCACUUCUGCUUAGGACAAAUCUGAAGGGCUGCUGCCCCCUUGUGCCUGGGAUGUGGAAUUGAUUUUCUUCAUGUCAUUUCUACAGUGCAGACAAUGCGACUGUUCGUGUCGGAACACAACGGCUGGAGCAUUCCUCGACUCACGCACGAUGCAGUUCCCGGAGCUUCUGAAGGAGCCCGUCCCUCUCCCGCUCCAGCGUGGAGAUUUUCUGGCUCUUCCGACUCACUUCCUGCAGGGAGCACAGCAUGCUGGCCCUCGCCUGUUCAAACACGUCGUGGAAUGUGACUGUACCAGAACUGGAAGGAAACAGAACAGUGAGUAAGAGUGACUGCCAAACUUAACGAAUACAUUAUGGUGUCCCUGUUUAAUACUCGCCCACCAAGAAAACAACCAACAUGCCCCCCCCAACAUAGGAUUUCACCUGAUGAUCUAUGAAAGAACCCAGUAACAAACUGUUCCUAGGAGUCACUACUAGGACUCCAUGCUUCAUUCGCGAUGGCGUACAGGGUACAGUCAUGAUAUCAGUCUGACAUUUUCCUUGUAUCACAACAACUCUAUUUGUGACAACAGAAAAAAAAGAC